ACACGUUGGGAUCUACCCCAGACUCAGGGAUAACCGGCCGAAAUGGUGGCUAAUACCGGAUGGGCUCGAAAGAGUAAAGCUUUUGGGGUCUGGGAGGAACCUGCGGGCUAUCAGCUAGUUGGUAAGGUAACGGCUUACCAAGGCGAUGACGGGUAGCUGAUGUGAGAGCAUUGAUCAGCCUCGAUGGGACUGAGACACGGCCCAUACUCCUACGGGAGGCAGCAGUGAAGAAUCUUCCGCCAUGGACGAAAGUCUGACGGAGCAACACCGCGUGGUGGAUGAAGGCCUUCGGGUCGUAAACACCUUUUCUGAGGGAAUAAGUUCUGAAGGUACCUCAGGAAUAAGGCGCUGCUAACUACGUGCCAGCAGCAGCGGUAAUACGUAGGCGCCAAGCGUUAUCCGGAAUUAUUGGGCGUAAAGCGUCUGUCGGCGGCAAUGCAAGUCUGGUGUGACAUUUCAAUGCUUAACAUUGAAUGCGUAUCGGAAACUGUAUUGCUAGAGUCUACAAAGAGCCACUGGAAUUUCCGUUGUAGGGGUCAAAUCCGGAGAUAACGGAAGGAACACCAAAAGCGAAAGCCGGUGGCUGGCUUAGUACUGA
rnacentral:rRNA from 1 species